UACGAAGGGGGCUAGCGUUGUUCGGAAUCACUGGGCGUAAAGCGCAUGCAGGCGGAUUGUUAAGUCGGGGGUGAAAUCCCGAGGCUCAACCUCGGAACUGCCUUCGAUACUGGCAAUCUUGAGUCCGGGAGAGGUGAGUGGAACUGCGAGUGUAGAGGUGAAAUUCGUAGAUAUUCGCAAGAACACCAGUGGCGAAGGCGGCUCACUGGCCCGGUACUGACGCUGAGGUGCGAAAGCGUGGGGAGCAAACGGG
rnacentral:rRNA from 1 species